ensembl:lncRNA
UCCAUAGGGUCUCAAAGAGUUGGACGCCACUUAAGCAAGUCCAUGGAAAUACCUUUCGGUGGUUUGAGUUUGCUCAUCCAGCACAUACUUUGGUUAUGACCCACAGUUCCCUGAUCUUGGCCAGAGAGCUCAGAUACCUGCAAAUUCUUAACCACUGGACCAUCAGGGAAGUCUGCAAGAUGUCUUCUAUAAUGACAAGAUCAAAUGCAAAAGUGAACGCUGGACAUUUGCUGGGCAACAGUUUCUAUUCAUAACAUUUUUUGUCUUCUUGAGAAAUGGAGAACGAUACAUGCAGAGUUUGCUUUUUCCCACCAAACACAUCAAAUGAUUGACUCUGCAGCCAACACUUUAGAAAUGAAUUCUGGGGCCAUCAAUAGAAUGAGUUUAGAAAAUAAAUCUCCGCAAGUGAAAAUAUUUAC